rnacentral:rRNA from 1 species
UAAAGACUCAAAUGAAUUGACGGGGGCCCGCACAAGCGGUGGAGCAUGUGGUUUAAUUCGAUGCAACGCGAAGAACCUUACCUACUCUUGACAUCCAGAGAACUUAGCAGAGAUGCUUUGGUGCCUUCGGGAACUCUGAGACAGGUGCUGCAUGGCUGUCUUCACUCGUGUUGUGAAAUGUUGGGUUAAGUCCCGCAACGAGCGCAACCCUUAUCCUUUGUUGCCAGCGGUUAGGCCGGGAACUCAAAGGAGACUGCCAGUGAUAAACUGGAGGAAGGUGGGGAUGACGUCAAGUCAUCAUGGCCCUUACGAGUAGGGCUACACACGUGCUACAAUGGCGUAUACAAAGAGAAGCGACCUCGCGAGAGCAAGCGGACCUCAUAAAGUACGUCGUAGUCCGGAUUGGAGUCUGCAACUCGACUCCAUGAAGUCGGAAUCGCUAGUAAUCGUAGAUCAGAAUGC